rnacentral:piRNA from 1 species
UCAGAAAUAAGUGGAUGGAAACUCGCCCU